AGAAUCAACGCUGGCGGCGUGCCUCAGACAUGCAAGUCGAACGCGAAAGUCCCCUUCGGGGGACAAGUAGAGUGGCGCACGGGUGAGUAACACGUAGGUAAUCUACCUUUGGAUGGGGAAUAACAACCGGAAACGGUUGUUAAUACCGCAUGAUGCAGCGGCACCUAAUGGUGACGUAGUUA
rnacentral:rRNA from 1 species